UACGAAGGGGGCUAGCGUUGUUCGGAAUUACUGGGCGUAAAGCGCGCGCAGGCGGUCUUCCAAGUCAGUGGUGAAAGCCCGGAGCUCAACUCCGGAACUGCCAUUGAAACUGUGAGACUUGAGUCCGGGAGAGGGUAGUGGAAUUCCCAAUGUAGCGGUGAAAUGCGUAGAUAUUGGGAGGAACACCAGUGGCGAAGGCGGCUACCUGGACCGGAACUGACGCUGAUGUGCGAAAGCGUGGGUAGCAAACAGG
rnacentral:rRNA from 1 species